rnacentral:rRNA from 1 species
GUGGGGAAUAUUGGACAAUGGGCGCAAGCCUGAUCCAGCAAUGCCGCGUGCAGGAUGAAGGCCUUCGGGUUGUAAACUGCUUUUGUACGGAACGAAAAGCCCUGGGUUAAUACCCUGGGGUCAUGACGGUACCGUAAGAAUAAGCACCGGCUAACUACGUGCCAGCAGCCGCGGUAAUACGUAGGGUGCGAGCGUUAAUCGGAAUUACUGGGCGUAAAGCGUGCGCAGGCGGUUUUGUAAGACAGAGGUGAAAUCCCCGGGCUCAACCUGGGAACUGCCUUUGUGACUGCAAGGCUAGAGUACGGCAGAGGGGGAUGGAAUUCCGCGUGUAGCAGUGAAAUGCGUAGAUAUGCGGAGGAACACCGAUGGCGAAGGCAAUCCCCUGGGCCUGUACUGACGCUCAUGCACGAAAGCGUGGGGAGCAAACAGGAUUAGAUACCCGAGUAGUCC